rnacentral:sRNA from 1 species
CCAGCCUGGGAAGAAGCCUCCCACGCCAGGGCCCCGGACCCAGGAGAGGCCAUGGAAAGCCUGAACCCCAGCUCGCUGACACCCCCCACACCCCCAAGGGCCCUUAGUCUGAGACCAAGUCUCCUGGACAUCUGGGGCCCACGCAGGCCCUCCGUGCCCCAGUUACCUGUGCCCGGGAGGCAGCCACGGAGUCACGACCACGCGGGGGACGCCAGCCCACAGGAAGAGGCCGGUUUCGAGGCGGCUGGCAGCCGUCCCCCCACCCCAUGCCCUUUGGGUAGCACCUGUGCUGGUGGAGUGGGGAGUAGCUGGCUUUGCACACAGGCCUGCUCCUGUGCCACGCUGCGGCCGCCGUGAAGGAAGAACCUGGCUGAGUCUCCACCUGCCGUGGACUGUUCCAGGUUUGGGGAGGCCAGGCACUGCUAAGGGUCAGUCUGCCCAGACCAGUGUGGACACACCAAGUGCCUGCGAGCCCCUGGGAGCUGCCCGUGCCAGGCUGGAGAGCCAGGGAGGGGCGAGGACAGCUGCAGCCCCGAGAUGUAAACAGGCUUGCAGGUAUAAAAGCUGGAGCCCCUGGGCCUCUCCACAUCCCAGACUGACCCACCUUCCAUAACUCUCGAAAGAAGCCAGGCAGAGGACCCAGCACCACGCGGCGUCUACGUCUGCUCUGGCCCAAGCAGCACCCCCAAUCCGUGCGUGCACCCCAUGAAUUGACUCUCUAUCCACCCCAGGACCAGGAUGGAGGAGGACUUCUCCUCCCAGAUGAAGAAGAUGGCCUUGGCCAUGGGUACGUCCCUUUCAGACAAGGACAUUGAGCUGCUGCCCACGGACAUGAGACACCACGGUACAGCAUGCCCCCGCCCGGCGCGGCCCCCCACCCGUCCAGCCCACCUGUGGUCAGGAGACCUCACCCCUUUUCUGGGGCUGAUGGGUCCAGAACACCAGGACCUGCAGCGGGCGGGGACAUGGGGGUGCAGGACCCGGCAGCCCCCAUCCCAGGGCGGGGUCUUCCCUGGAGGCCCGGCUCGAGUGAGGUGGGCCCCUCCGUGAGCCCAGCCUGGUUGCCCCAGGGUCCUUCAACUACCUCAAGUUCUUCGAGCACAUGCGCAAGUUCCACGCCUUGGGCCAGCUGGACGCCGCCAUCCGCGAGGCCUUCCAGUCCCUGGACAAGGACAAGAGCGGCUUCAUUGAGUGGAACGAGAUCAAGUAAUGGCCGGCGGCCAGGGAGGGGUGGGGCCCAGGCCACCCAGACCACGCCGAAUGCCCACCUGGCGGACCCGGCCUUCCCCCACCGGGUCCCCACUGGCCUUGCAGCUGGCAGGGCUGGGCCAGAACCGGCUAGAGGCCCAGGAUCCCGGCCCGAAGUGCCCUCGCCUACAAAGUGGGGGGCAAAUGGCUCGUGAGUCACUGGGCACUGGCCGGAAGCCCCUUGGCCCUGACUCGAGCCCCCUCGGCCCCAGGUACAUCCUGUCC